UAUCCAGAAUGUAUGACAUGGUGUUAAAUUGGGAACUGCAAUUACUGUUGUGUUUUGACAAUGUUCUGUAUGUAGCUAGAGAUAUGGUGUUAUUCAUGUGCAAUCUAGAUGGAUUAUUUGGUUAUUUGGUUAUACUCCAAAAGAGAGCCCAUAAUGGCAAAUGUAGAGAAGUUAGAGUCAGAUUACAUCUGUUUCAUGUCAUCUCUCUUGGGUGAUCCAAGUGAUGCAGCUAGUGGAUGCAUUUCACGUAUGAAUGCAAGAAGAUCCUCGGAAUGAAGUAAUCCAAAUAACAGUCAAUGUAUAGAUCCUUUAUGAUAAUGGUUGGAAUGGAUUUAGUAGAUACUAAUGUUUGUGUUUGCUAAUUGAAAUAUAUGUUUGAGACUCAUUA